rnacentral:rRNA from 1 species
AGUGAACGCUGGCGGUAGGCCUAACACAUGCAAGUCGAACGGCAGCACAGUAAGAGCUUGCUCUUACGGGUGGCGAGUGGCGGACGGGUGAGGAAUACAUCGGAAUCUACUUUUUCGUGGGGGAUAACGUAGGGAAACUUACGCUAAUACCGCAUACGACCUUCGGGUGAAAGCAGGGGAUCUUCGGACCUUGCGCGAUUGAAUGAGCCGAUGUCGGAUUAGCUAGUUGGCGGGGUAAAGGCCCACCAAGGCGACGAUCCGUAGCUGGUCUGAGAGGAUGAUCAGCCACACUGGAACUGAGACACGGUCCAGACUCCUACGGGAGGCAGCAGUGGGGAAUAUUGGACAAUGGGCGCAAGCCUGAUCCAGCCAUACCGCGUGGGCGAAGAAGGCCUUCGGGUUGUAAAGCCCUUUUGUUGGGAAAGAAAAGCAGCAGGUUAAUACCCCGCUGUUCUGACGGUACCCAAAGAAUAAGCACCGGCUAACUUCGUG